GGUUAAAACGCUCCUAGUUGGAUAUCUGCUGAAUGCCCCCGGUCCAUCCUAGUGGUGCGUACUCGGUCUGUGUUUAGCACUUUUCUGGGGACUGCGUUCGCACUUCACUGUGUGGCGCAUGAUCUAGUACUUUUACUUUGAGGAAAUGAGAGUGUUUCAAGCAGGCGUUAGUUUUGAAUACGUUAGCAUGGAAUAAUAGCAUGGGACCUCGUUCUGGAGUUGUUGGUUUUUGGAGCGAUGUAAUCAAAAUAGGGGUAGCUGGGGGCAUUCGUAUUUAACUGUCAGAGGUGAAAUUCUUGGAUUUUUUAAAGACGAACUACUGCGAAAGCAUCUGCCCAGGAUGUUUUUAUUAAUCAAGAACGAAAGUUAGGGGAUCGAAGACGAUCAGAUACCGUCCUAGUCUUAACCAUAAACUAUGCCGACUAGAGAUUGGGGCUGUCAGAUUUUUGACGGCUUCAGCAACUUGAGAGAAAUCAAAGUCUUUGGGUUCCGGGGGGAGUAUGGUCGCAAGGCUGAAACUUAAAGGAAUUGACGGAAGGGCACCACCAGGAGUGGAGCCUGCGGCUUAAUUUGACUCAACACGGGGGAAACUCACCA
rnacentral:rRNA from 1 species